UACGUAGGGCGCAAGCGUUGUCCGGAAUUAUUGGGCGUAAAGAGCUCGUAGGCGGCUUGUCACGUCGGGUGUGAAAGCCCGGGGCUUAACCCCGGGUCUGCAUUCGAUACGGGCAGGCUAGAGUGUGGUAGGGGGAGAUCGGAAUUCCUGGUGUAGCGGUGAAAUGCGCAGAUAUCAGGAGGAACACCGGUGGCGAAGGCGGAUCUCUGGGCCAUUACUGACGCUGAGGAGCGAAAGCGUGGGGGAGCGAACAGG
rnacentral:rRNA from 1 species